rnacentral:misc_RNA from 1 species
AUUCCGCGGUUGUUAAACCUGCUUCGGAGAGCUCGUUUUCGAUUUCCUUGCGGCGUGCGCUCCAGAAGUGUCGUAAGCGCUUGUCGGCAUCCCGUUCGUGGGGUGGCGGCACGAUUUCGAAGGUACCGUUGGGCCCGAUGUCGCCGAUGCAGUAACCGAGCUUCUGCAAUUCUGUCGCACAGGCCAAGUGCUGAAUUGCUCCCCAUGAUUUGGCGCCGUGAUAGAGCGGCUGGCCGUCCAACGAGCGAGUGAGAUACCGCAG